AUAACACAAGCCUUGAGGAAUAAACAUCGCUAUAUUUUUAGAAGUCAUUAAGUGCACGUUUAAUGAAAAAAAGGGAGAAAUCCAAGUGAAGAAUUUGCUCGACUAAAAUCUUACGAACGAACGUUCCUUUUUUUUUUCUUUUUGUUAAAAUCAGACGAAAGCUUGAGACAGUUUGCCGUCUGGGUAAAAUUGGAUAACGCUUCGAGUUCAAAUGGGACAGUCAAAUUAUUCGCAGCUGCAAAAAUUAAGACUCCAGUGUCAAUAUUUGAUCGUGUCUGUACACAUAUGGUGGCACGUUUGAAAGUGAAAUUAAAAACCCAAUGAACGUUUCGACCAUUGUCGAUAGCCUAUCUCUGUUCAA
rnacentral:misc_RNA from 1 species